rnacentral:sRNA from 1 species
UUUCUUUUAAGUCUCCUUAAUCUUUGCUCCUUGAAAAACCAAGAUCACUUGCUAAAACUUACUGUUUCUAGCUUGGACUAUAGCAGAGAUGGAUUGGCUAGAGUCAUCCUUUCCAAAAUUUUAACUGCAGCUACUGAUGCCUGCAGACUCUAUGCAACAAAACAUUUAAGGGUAUUAUUGAGAGCUAAUGUUGAAUUCUUUAAUAAUUGGGGAAUUGAGUUGUUAGUGACCCAGCUACAUGAUAAAAACAAAACGAUUUCUUCUGAAGCUCUUGAUAUCCUCGAUGAAGCAUGUGAAGAUAAGGCCAAUCUUCAUGCUCUCAUUCAGAUGAAACCAGCGUUAUCCCACCUUGGAGACAAGGGUUUGCUUCUCCUUCUGAGAUUUCUCUCCAUUCCAAAAGGAUUUUCCUAUCUGAAUGAAAGAGGUUAUGUAGCAAAACAAUUGGAAAAGUGGCACAAGGAAUAUAACUCCAAAUAUGUUGACUUGAUUGAGGAACAACUCAAUGAAGCACUUACUACUUACCGGAAGCCUGUUGAUGGUGAUAACUAUGUUCGUCGGAGUAACCAAAGCAUAUUUAAAUUAGCCAGGAGAUAUAGUAAUCAUCUUUAUUAUACUAGAUUACAGCGUCCUCAUGUCUACCUGCCUAUACACCUUUAUGGACAACUGGUACACCAUAAAACAGGCUGCCAUUUGUUGGAAAUACAGGUAAAAACAUAAUUCACUUAUUUUAAGUGGCUACAAUAGUAAAAAAAACAAAAUCUUAACAUUGCUAAAAUAU